rnacentral:rRNA from 2 species
UGCCUAAUACAUGCAAGUCGAACGAGUUCUCGUUGAUGAUCGGUGCUUGCACCGAGAUUCAACAUGGAACGAGUGGCGGACGGGUGAGUAACACGUGGGUAACCUGCCCUUAAGUGGGGGAUAACAUUUGGAAACAGAUGCUAAUACCGCAUAGAUCCAAGAACCGCAUGGUUCUUGGCUGAAAGAUGGCGUAAGCUAUCGCUUUUGGAUGGACCCGCGGCGUAUUAGCUAGUUGGUGAGGUAAUGGCUCACCAAGGCGAUGAUACGUAGCCGAACUGAGAGGUUGAUCGGCCACAUUGGGACUGAGACACGGCCCAAACUCCUACGGGAGGCAGCAGUAGGGAAUCUUCCACAAUGGACGCAAGUCUGAUGGAGCAACGCCGCGUGAGUGAAGAAGGCUUUCGGGUCGUAAAACUCUGUUGUUGGAGAAGAAUGGUCGGCAGAGUAACUGUUGUCGGCGUGACGGUAUCCAACCAGAAAGCCACGGCUAACUACGUGCCAGCAGCCGCGGUAAUACGUAGGUGGCAAGCGUUAUCCGGAUUUAUUGGGCGUAAAGCGAGCGCAGGCGGUUUUUUAAGUCUGAUGUGAAAGCCCUCGGCUUAACCGAGGAAGCGCAUCGGAAACUGGGAAACUUGAGUGCAGAAGAGGACAGUGGAACUCCAUGUGUAGCGGUGAAAUGCGUAGAUAUAUGGAAGAACACCAGUGGCGAAGGCGGCUGUCUGGUCUGUAACUGACGCUGAGGCUCGAAAGCAUGGGUAGCGAACAGGAUUAGAUACCCUGGUAGUCCAUGCCGUAAACGAUGAAUGCUAGGUGUUGGAGGGUUUCCGCCCUUCAGUGCCGCAGCUAACGCAUUAAGCAUUCCGCCUGGGGAGUACGACCGCAAGGUUGAAACUCAAAGGAAUUGACGGGGGCCCGCACAAGCGGUGGA